rnacentral:tRNA from 1 species
UCAAUUUAAGUGCUUAAGCACGUUAUUCCUUGAAAUUAAAAGAAUUAAUUAAAUUUAAUAAAUUGAU